rnacentral:lncRNA from 1 species
CCACACAUGCACAUCUUAAUUUGACUUAUUGACUUGUUCUUCUAGAUCCAUGGUUUGAAUAUGCAAUAAAUGUCUUGUAAGUAUGUAUUAGCUGUCUCCCACCUAUGAGAUCCAGAUAUCAAAACCUUAUUAGAGUAGGGUGAGAGAGAAGGCAAUGCCAUUAUGCCUCAUACCAAAAAUACUACAUACUUUGAGAGAAGGCAUAUACCAUUACUGCCUUGGAAAGGAUCCAGAAAUACCACAAAAGAGAGAAUUAAGAGAGUCAUACAAGGAAUCUCUGAGUUUUAUUUUUAAAAUCAGCAAAAACUCCAGAGCAGUUGAUAAAGAAUAAGAGACAUUGCGCUUGACUAGACUGUUCUAUCUUUUAACUGCUCAAGACAUAGUGACGGUUGCAAGCCCCAUGUUGGAAGGUAAAAUGAGUAAGUUUAAAUCUUAACAGUUUACCUUAACCCAGAGAUGAGAUCUUGUUUGAACGCAUGUGUAUCUUUAAGGUAUGAAACCACUACAAAAACUCUUGAGUUCAUCUUUGCUCAGGGACGAGCAAAGGUUAAGCUUGGUGGAGCUUGUUGAUGGUCCUUAAUGCUCACAUUUAAACGUCAACUAAUCAAAGAAAAGGAUCCAAAUGCAACCAACACCUAGACUUAGGGUUUUAUUUGACAGAAUUCCACGAGUUUUGGUGUUUGUCUAUUUCUGCAGGGGGUUAUCAGGAAAUACGGAGGAAAGGCCCACACGUCGGGUUUACAUAGAGAUAUUAAUGUGCCGUGCAAUUUUCUAUCAUCUAGAAGACUCCGGAAGCCACGGGAACGAACGGGAAGCCGAGAGGGCUCAGGGAUAGGGUGCCCGCCCUAAGGACCAGGGCGCCCUCCCACCUUCAGUGUCCAAUUCGGACCCGUUUCGCAGAUUACGCUCCACCGACAUAAUGGAUCAAGGAUAACCAUUCAAUCAAUGUCGGUUUGAUCCGACGGCCCAGAUUCAUCUGAAAAGACUAUAUAAACAAGGUCCCCUGGCCCCUGGAGAUCAUACCUCUUUUGCAGAAUCAAAGGUAGGGUUUUAAUUCUUCAUCCAAGUAGAGAGGAUCCCUCUAGUUCAUCUAGUUCUUGUUCUAGUUCCUCUAGUUCUAGUUCUAGUUAGUUAUAGUUGUAAUCUAGAAAAUAGGGAGAGAGAAGAGGAGAGCGGAGGACGAGCCGGAUCUGUCAGAUCUUCCUGAACAUUAUACUUUUGCUGCAAUUGGUUCGUUCUUCAUCGUUCUCCAAGUUCUUCAAUUUAUAAUUCCUGAGCUCUUUAAUUAAUUUUUUUUACAUUCAAGUUAUUUAUUAGGUUCCCGCUUGCAUCAAGUGCUCUAGUCUUUAUAACGCUAGAGUAGUAAUUAAUAGAUUAGACGUGGUGUUUAGUCUUGCAAUUACGUGGAAUUGCACCCAAUCCUGCGGAUUGUUGUGGUAGCCCUAGGGUAGUGACAGCCCUAACGGUCGACGUAUUCCACCUCGUUUGGAUCGGUGUUUGUAGGACCGUAGUCAGAGCUUCCUAGCCCCCUUCUCAUCUCUUUCUGUGGUUAGUGUUCUGAUGUCCCAAAAUAAAUAAUCUUUGAAGUAAUUCUUGAUUCUUAGAUCAACUAGAGAACUCUCAGGAAACUUUCUCUAUUCCCACCAAAAAUAAUUAUAUAGUUAUCCUUGGGCGAUCUUGAAUCUUAAUUAGUACACUCACGUUUCGUGUGGAAAAUCGAUACUUUGGAAUACUCCCGGGUGAAAGCUACAUCAGUAUCCGUGCGCUUGCGGAUUUUUCUGUUUGCGUUUAAAAUACCCAACAACGGUGCAUUGGGCACAAACCAUGCAAUAUCUUGCAUCGAAACUAACACUGUCUCCAAAUGGACCGAUGCGAGAUUCCAUAUGACACUCGUCUUCUAGGAGUUCCAUGAGGUGCGUCCAAAUUGAUUUUCGAGCAUAUGGUACGCUCCAUGCAGACCGUGCAACUAUCUUGCAUCAAGAUUUGCACUAUCUCCAAACAAACUGAACCGAGCUUCCACUUGAGCCUCUUCAGCUAGGAGUACCAUCGGGUGCGUCCAAAAUGGUUUCUCAGAGUAUGGUGCAUUAGGCACAAACCGUACACCUAUCUUGCACCAAAAAUAACACUAUCUCCAAACAGACCAAAGCGAGAUAUCAGAUGACACACAUUAUCUAGUAGUUCUAUCAGGUGCGUCCAAAUUGAUUUACAAGCAUAUAGUAUAUUCCAUGCAAACCGUGUAGCUAUCUUACAUGAAGAUAAGCACUAUCUCCAAACAGAUCGUACCGAGCUUUCACUUGAGCCUCUUCACCUUAGAGUAUAAUCGGGUGCUUCCACAACGGUUUCUGAGCCUAUGGUGCAUUAGGCGCAAACCAUGCACCUAUCUUGCACUGAAACUAACACUAUCUCCAAAUGGACCGAAGUGAAAUUCCAUGUGACACACGUUAUCUAGGAGUUCUAUUAGGUGCGUCCAAAUUGAUCUUUGAGGAUAUGUUACAUUCCAUGCAAACCGUGCACCUAUAUUGCAUCAAAAUUACCACUAUCUCCAAACAGACCAAACCGAGCUUUCACUAGAGCCCCACCUAUUAGUACCAUCGGUGCGUCCAGAAUAAUUUCUUAGCCUAUGGUGCAUUAGGUGCAAACCGUGCACCUAUCUUUCACCGAAUCUAACACUAUCUCUAAACAGACCGAAGCGAGAUUCCAUAUGACACACAUCAUCUAGGAGUUCCAUCGGAUUUGUCCAAAUUGAUUUCUGAGCAUAUGGUAUGUCCCAUGCAAACUGUGCACUUAUCUUGCAUCAAGAUUAGCACUAUCUCCAAACAGACCGAACUGAGCUUCCACUUGAGCCUCUUCACCUAGGAGUACCAACAGGUGCGUCCAAAAUGGUUUCUUAGACUAUGGUGCAUUAGGCGCAAACUGUGCACCUAUCUUGCACCGAAACUAACACUAUCUCCAAAUGGAUCAAAGCGAGAUUCCAUAUGACACUCAUCAUAUAGGAGUUCCAUCAGGUGCAUCCAAAUUACUUUCCGAGCAUAUAGUACAUUCCAUGAGAACCGUGCAUCUAUCUUGCAUCAAGAUUAGCACUAUCUCCAAUCUAACCGAACUGAGCUUCCACUUGAGCCCUUCACCUAGGAGUACCAACAGGUGCGUCCAAAAUGGUUUCUUGGACUAUGGUGCAUUAGGCGCAAACUGUGCACCUAUCUUGCACUGAAACUAACACUAUCUCCAAAUGGAUCAAAGCGAGAUUCCAUAUGACACUCAUCAUAUAGGAGUUCCAUCAGGUGAGUCCAAAUUAAUUUCUGAGCAUAUAGAACAUUCCAUGAGAACCGUGCAUCUAUCUUGCAUCAAGAUUAGCACUAUCUCCAAACUAACCGAACUGAGCUUCCACUUGAGCCUCUUCACCUAGGAGUACCAACAGUUGCGUCCAAAAUGGUCUCUUAAACUAUGGUGCAUUAGGUGCAAACUGUGCACCUAUCUGGCACUGAAACAAACACUGUCUCCAAACAGACCGAAGCAAGAUUCCAUAUGACACUCGUCAUCUAGGAGUUCCAUCAGGUGCAUCCAAAAUGAUUUUUGAGCAUAUGGUACGUUCCAUGCAAACUGUGCACCUAUUUUUCAUCAACAUUAGCACUAUCUCCAAAUAGACCGAUCAAAGCUUCCACUUUAGCCUCUUCACCUAGGAGUACCAACAGGUGAGUCCAAAAUAGCCUCUUAGACUAUGGUGCAUUCGGUAAAAACUGUGCACCUAUCUUGCACCGAAAUGAACACUGUUUCCAAACUGACAGAAACGAGAUUCCAUAUGACACUCGUUAUCUAUGAGUUCCAUCGGGUGCGUCCAAAUUGAUUUUUGAGCAUAUGGUACGUUUCACGCAAACUGUGCACCUAUCUUGCAUCAAGAUUAGCACUAUCUCCAAAUAGACCAAACCAAGCUUUCGCUUGAGCCUCUUCACCUAGGAGUACGAUCGGGUGUGUCCAAAAUGGCUUCUUAGCCUAUGGUGCAUUACGCGCAAACCAUGCACCUAUCUUGCUCCAAAACUAACACUUUCUCCAAAUGGACCAAAGCAAGAUUACAUAUGACACACAUCAUCUAGGAGUUCCAUCGGGUGUGUCCAAAUUGGUUUGUAGGCAUAUGGUAUAUUCCAUGAAAACCGUGCAGCUAUCUUACAUGAAGAUUAGCACUAUCUCCAAACAAAUCGUACCGAGCUUUCACUUGAGCUUCUUCACCUAGUUGUAUCAUUGGGUGCUUCCACAAUGGUUUCUGAGCCUAUGGUGCAUUAGGCGCAAACUAUGCACCAUUCUUGCUCCGAAACUAACACUAUCUCCAAAUGGACGAAGUGAGAGUUCUAUCGGGUGCAUCAAAAUUGAUUUCCAAGGAUAUGGUACAUUCCAUGCAUACCAUGCACCUAUCUUGCAUCAAGAUUAGCACUAUCUUCAAACAAACCAAACCGAGCUUUCACUUGAGCCCCUUCACCUAGGAGUACAAUCGGGUGCGUCCAAAAUCGUUUCUUAGAGUAUGGUGUGUCCAAAAUCUUUUCUUGCACUGAAAGUAACACUAUCUCCAAAAAGACCAAAGUGAAAUAUCAGAUGACACACAUCAUAUAGGAGUUCUAUUAUGUGCGUCCAAAUUGAUUUUCAAACAUAUGCACCUAUCUUGCAUAAGGAUUAGCACUACCUCCAAACAGACGGAACCGAGAUUCCACUUGAGCCUCUUCCUCUAGGAGUACAAAGAGGUGCAUCCAAAAUGGUUUCUUAGACUUUGGUGCAUUAGGCAUAAGAUGUGCACCUAUCUUGCAUCGAAACUAACAUUGUCUCCAAAUGGACUGAAGCAAGAUUCCACAUGACACGUCAUCUUGGAGUUCCAUCGGGUGCGUCCAAAUUGAUUUCUGUGCAUAUGGUACGUUCCAUGCAAACUAUGCAACUAUCUUGCAUCAAGAUUAGCACUAUCUCUGAAUAGACCAAAUCGAGCUUCCACUUGAGCCUCUUCAACUAGGAGUACCAUCAGGUGUGUCUAAAAUGGUUUCUUAGCCUAUGGUGCAUUAGGCGCAAACCAUGCACAUAUCAUCCACCAAAACUAACACUAUCUCUAAACGGACCGAAGCGAGAUUCCAUAUGACACACGUCAUCUAGGAGUUCGAUCUGGUGUGUCCAAAUUGAUUUCUGAGCAUAUCGUACGUUCAAUGCAAAUCAUGCACCUAUCUUGCAUCAAGAUUAGCACUAUCUCUGAAUAGACCAAAUCGAGCUUUCACUUGAGCAUCUUUACCUAGGAAUACCAUCGGGUGCGUCCAAAAUGGUUUCUUAUCCUAUGGUGCAUUAGGCGCAAACCGUGCACCUAUCUUGCACCGAAACUAACAGUGUCUCCAAACGCACCGAAGCGAGAUUCCAUAUAACACACGUCAUCUUGGAGUUCGAUCUGGUGUGUCCAAAUUGAUUUCCGAGCAUAUGGUACGUUCCAUCCAAAUCGUGCACCUAUCUUGCAUCAAGAUUAGCACUAUCUCCGAACAGACCGAACCGAGCUUCCACUUGAGCCUCUUCACCUAGGAGUACCAACAGGUGCUUCCAAAAUGGUUUCUUAGACUACGGUGCAUUAGGCGCAAAGCGUGCAAAUAUCUUGCACCAAAAAUAAUGUUGUCUCUAAACAAACCAAAGCAAGAUUCCAUAUGACACAUAUCAUCAAGGAGUUCUAUCAGGUGCGUCCAAAUUAAUUUCUGAGCAUAUGGUACGUUCGAUGCAAAAUGUGCAACUAUCUUGCAUCAAGAUUAGCACUAUCGCCAAACAGACCAAAUCGAGCUUUCACUUGAGCCUCUUCACCUAGGAGUACCAUCCGGUGCUUCCAUAAUGGUUUCUGAGCCUAUGGAGCAUUAGGUGCUCUUACCGUGCACCUAUCUUGCACCAAAACUAACACUAUCUCCAAAUGGACCGAAGUGAGAUUCCAUAUGACACACGUCAUCUAGGAGUUCCAUCGGGUGCGUCCAAAUUGAUUUCUGAGCAUAUGUUAUGUUCCAUGCAUAUCGUGCACCUCUCUUGCCUCAAGAUUAGUACUAUCUCUAAACAGACCAAACCAAGCUUCCACUUGAGCCCUUCACCUAGGAGUACCAUUAGGUGCGUCCAAAAUGGUUUCUUAGCCUAUGGUGCAUUAGGCGCAAACCGUGCACCUAUCUUCACUGAAACUAACACUAUCUCCAAAUAGACCGAAGCAAGAUUGCAAAUGACACACGUCAUCUACGAGUUUCAUCGGGUGUGUCCAAAUUGAUUUCUGAGCAUAUGGUAUGUUCCAUGCAAACCAUGCAACUAUCUUGCACCAAGUUUAGCACUAUCUCCAAAUAGUCCCAACCAAGCUUCCACUUGAGCCCCUUCACCUAGGAGUACCAUCGGGUACAUCCAAAAUGGUUUCUUAAACUAUGGUGCAUUAGGCCCAAACCAUAAACCUUUCUUGCACCAAAACUAACACUAUCUCCAAACAGACCAAAGCAAGAUUCCAUAUGACACACAUCAUCUAGGAGUUCUAUUAGGUGUGUCCAAAUUGAUUUACAAGCAUAUGGUAUGUUCCACACAAACCGUACACCUAUCUUGCAUCAUAUUAGCACUAUCUCCUAACAGAUCUUUUUAUUUGAGCCUCUUCACCUAGGAGUGCCAUCGGAUGUGUCCAAAUGGGUUUCUUAGCCUAUAGUGCAUUAUGCGCAAACCAUGCACCUAUCUGCACCAAAACUAACACUAUCUCCAAAUGGACCGAAAUAAGAUUCCAUAUGACACACAUCAUCAAGGAGUUCUAUCGGAUGUGUCCAAAUUGAUUUCUGAGCAUAUGGUACGUUCCAUGCAUACCGUGCACCUAUCUUGCACUAUCUCCAAAAGGACCAAACUAAGCUUCCCACGUGAGCCUCUUCACCUAGGAGUAGCCUCGGGUGCGUCCAAAAUAGUUUUGAGCAUAUGGUUCAUUCGGCACAAGCCAUGCACCUAUGUUACACCAAAACUAAGAUUGUUUCUAAUUAUACCAAAGUGAGACUCCAUAUGACACAUGUUGGGCAUUCUUAACGUCACUACCAAAAGUAGACUUAGUUUUCUAAUGCCAAACCUAUCCCUCAUGCCACUUAAGCCAAGUUGUCAUCCCCAGCAUGACAUGAGAGAUGCGGUAUUGAAAUAUGCAAUUGCUCUUCUAAAUAAAAAAAUAAAUGAGAUCUGCAAGCGCACAGAUUAAUACCGAUGUAGCAUUUUAACCGGAAAGUAUUCCAGGUAUCGUUAUUUAUAUUUUUACCAAUGGGAAGGGAUUGCUAAACAUCAAUGUUGAUUAUGGAAUGCUGUAUAGAAUUGAGUAUCUAACAUUGCAUGUAUAAUUGAGAGCAUUUAUCUAUCUCUUUCAUACAAGGAUAAAUGUCACAUAAAAGAUAGAUAAAGUAUGAAUAGUGACAAAGAUAAUUAAUCUGAUCAGCAUAUAAAUAUGAUAAACACCUCAACAGAUAUUCUAGCAAGUCAUUAGCAUGAAAUUAGGAUGAACUACAAGAAUAUUUCCUAAGUUAUUCUCAAUUAUACAGUCUACCAUAUCAUAGUUAGUGCAAUUAUACUUGGCAAUCAUUGCGAGACAGGACUACGCCCAUGCAUAGUGAUAUUAUCAAGGAAUAUGAGAAACAUAGCAAUCACUCCCCUGUAAUAAUGUUGCUCUGCCAGCCCUAUACACGAGAGGGGGACUAUAUAACAAUCAAUGGAACUGUCACUACCACGAACUACCCCGUGAUCUGGCAUAUAGGGUACAAUCGCAGAUAAAUACGGUAUAGGCACCACGCCUACACAAUACUUAUCAUUUACCACUGUACACAUGGAUAAACGCUAUACAAUCCUAAACAUGUAUAUAAAUCCAAUCUAACUAAGCCAAGUAUAUAAAUAUGAUAGACUAAGAACAAUAUAAUUGCAAAUAUAAACAAGUAGAGCAAAGCCAUAAUCAAUAUAUUGAAGUAGAACAAAGUCAUAUUCAUAAUAUUGAAGAACAAAGAUGAACAAUUGAAGAACAAUAGAGGAAUUACCAAGAAUACUCUUGACAGAUCCGGAAACCAAUCGAAGAUUGACUCCUUCUGGUUCUAAUCCUAUGUAGCUAUGCUAAACUAGAGAUCUAAUUGAUGUGGUGGCUCUAGGGCUUGAUCAGAGGCUUCUUCUCCCCAGAUAGAUAAUGAAUUAGGGUUUCUGAGGGAUAGAGGUGCUCUCCUCUAGGGGCGAGGGGGUCUGCUUAUAUAGUCCUUCCAAGUGAAUGUGGGCCAUCGGAUCAAACCGACAUUAAUCGCACGAUUUUCAUUGAUCCCUUAGGUCGGUGGAGCAUGAUCCACGAGGUUGGUUGUGAUUGGCCCUCAGGCCAGGGCGGGCGCCCAAGGGGGGAGGGCAGGCGCCCUGCCCCCAGGCCCUUCCAUUCUCCCAUUUGUUCCCGUGGCUUUUGGACUCUUCUAGAUGUUAGAUAAUUGCGUGGCACGUUAAUAUCUCUUUGUAAACCCGACGUGUGGGCCUUUCUUCCAUAUUUUCUGAUAACCCCCUACAGAAAUAGAUAAACACUAAAACUCGUGGAAUUCUGUCAGAUAAAACCCUAAGUCUGGGUGUCGGUUGCAUUUGGAUCAUUUUCUUUGUUUAUUUGAUAAUUAAAUUUGAUACUUAAGGACCGUCAACAAACUCCCCCAAGCUUACCUCUUGCUCGUCCUAGAGCAAGGAUAAUCUCAGUGAUGGAUCAGAAGUUGCUGUAAUGCCUUUGAGUUUUGACGAUACACAUGCUUUCAAAUAUGGUGUCAUCUCUGAGACAGAGUAAACCGUCAAGACUUAAAACUUACUUAUUUUACCUUUCACCAUGGGACUUGUAACCGUCACUUCUGUCUUGAGCAGUUAAAAGAUAGAACGGUCUAGUCAAGUGCCAUGUCUCUUAUUCUUGAUCAGCUAUAGCUCUGGAGUUUUUGCAGAUUUUCAAAUAAAACUCUGAGAUUCCUUGUAUGACUCUCUUAGAUCUCUCUUUUGUGGUAUUUCUGGAUCCUUUCCAAGGCAAUAACGGUAUAUUCCUUCUCUCAAAGUAUGUGGUAUUUUUGGUAUGAGGCAUAGUGAUAUUGCCUUCUCUCUUACCCUACUCUAAUAAGGUUUUGAUAUCUGGGGCUCAUAGGUGGGAGAUAAAGUAUACAUACUUACAAGACAUUUAUUGCAUAGUCAACCCAUGGAUCCAGAGAAACAAAUCAAUAAGUCAAAUCAAGAUGUGCAUGUGUGGUGAAUGAAUGGUGUAUGGUUAUGAUGGUGAUAACAAUGGUGAAAGUCUAAUUCUACUUUUCCUCUGUGGGGGUAUAAACCCCUAUACCCUUACGGCUAGACUUGGGCCAGGAAGCUUGGCCCAUUAUGAGACAAGCUCAAGGUUUGAUCCGACAGCUCAGAGUUUCGUGCAAGGAAACAAGACGUGGAGAUCAAACAGGAUUCUAGUCGGUUAGAAUAGGAAUUGAUAUCAAACUAUCUAUGGCAAUUGUAACCGACUAGGAUUAGUUUCCAGAUCUGUAACCCUACCCUCCGGACUAUAUAAGGAGAGGCAAGGGACCCCCCUAGGACAUCAUAUUCUCUCAACACAAAUCAAUACAACCAGACGCAGGACGUAGGUAUUAUGCCAACUCGGCGGCCGAAACUGGAUAAAAAGCUUGUCCGUGUCUUGCGUCACCAUCGAGUUCUUAGUUUGCGCACCGUCUACCGAUAAACUACUACCGUGGGUAUACCCCAAGGUAGACUGCCGACCAGCUUUCGUCGAUAGUGGCGCACCAGGUAGGGGGUGUGCGUGCAACUUCUCCGGCGAACGAGAUGGUUACAAUCCCAGCUUCCGCGACCGUGCCCGAAGGCCUCACGCUCACCGUCGGCCAGAUCACGUGGACUACGCGCAGCGGUGGCCUCACGACCACGGUUUCGGAAGAAACUCAGAUCCAAUCUGAGAUCACGUCGUCUCUGACCACUCGGGUGACGGCACCGAGCGCCCGACCACCGUUCCCGCUCUACAAGGGAAAGAAGAUCAACUGCUCGGACCUUCUCCAAGCGCUUGAUCGCACCGAUUCCAAGCUACUCGAAGCCUCCCAACUAGUAGAUGGAAUCCUGCACCAGCCUGAUCAAGCCGCCCCAACGGAUUUUUUCAAAUCUCGCCGGCCAACUCGUGUCGUUACACACGAACGGCUAGGAACGUCUCUGACGAUAACCUCAACUCCCUCAGGGCGAUCCGUCAAGCUCAAGGCUAACCCGGAGGAAGAUUAUCUUUGCGGCCUGAACAACUCGGCCUCUCUCUACUCACGGCACAUCCAAUCCGUUUUCACCAAGGCGGGUUGGCCGCCAAAAAGGAACUGUCAAUCUGCUCGUCACUACGUCAACAUGGUGACGAUCCGCGAAUUACGGGAUGGCCAGGCUUCCAGCACCAAUUCGAGCACCGGUUCCGUCCCCACCGAAGUUAUAAACUCCGAAGACGAGGACUACGACCUGGAUUUGCUUUCACAUCCUCCGGGUUUCUCUCGUUUCCCGGUAUUCCCCCCCCCGGCGAGGAGACAUUGUUUUUAACGUCAGCGCCGACGAGCCGGUCGUUGAUGGAGGAACAGACGAGCAAAGGCAGCUCCGCGAGCAGCGUAACGCCGAUCGCGCCCGACGACACACGGAUGAGGAACGACAAAUUCCACCACAUAAUCUCAGCGACGCCUUUGAUAUGGUCGGGGACCAACCAGUCUACAAGACGCCAAGCGCCAACGUGGCUGUCGCCAUGGCUAACCUAGAUCGGCUCCCCGAUACUCUUGAGUGCCAUGGAGUCCGAACCAGCGUCCGAGCGCACCUGAUCGCCGUUAUGGGACAGACAGCCACUCUGCUCAAAAGAGUCCAGGCCGUCUCUUAUACGGAAGCCACCUCCGACCAGACUAAUCGUAGCCGGACCUCACCGCCUCCCAGCAGGCAUCACCGUAGCCGUUCCCCCGACAACCAUCGAAAGGAUUCACGACGUGACGAUGGUGGUCGGGAUGCUGACGGUCACCGCGAGCAGAACCGCAGGCGCGGUCAAGAAGUAAACCAGCACAGGGAUCUUCGAUAUAACAUCCCUCCCAAAGAUGCCCGGGACCGCAUCAACAGACGCGCCACGGAGCGAGCAGUCCACGAAAACCUGCGCUGUAUCGAGUACGAUGCAACGCACGGGCCCCCGGGCCUAAGACAGUUCUCCUCACACCUCCGCCAGGUCGUGUGGCCCCACAAUUUCAAGCUCGAGAAACUCAAAAAAUACGACGGCAAGGAAAAUCCAGAGAACUGGAUCACUCUCUAUGAAAUCGCCGUCCGAUCAGCAGUGGGGGAUGAGCACGUCAUGGCCAACUACUUCCCAGUAGUCCUCGACCAGGCUUGUCAUCAGUGGCUUCUUGGCUUGCCCGAGGACUCCUUCGACUCUUGGGAAGAGUUACGCCAGGCUUUUAUCAACAACUUCAUCGCCACAUGCGAGCAGCCUGGAAACAAGUAUGACCUCGAAAGGAUAAGGGACAGGAAAAACGAACCUUUACGCGAUUACAUCCGACGAUUCUCGAAUAUGCGCCUUAAGAUCCCAAAGAUUUCCCACGACGAGGCCAUCUCUACCUUCAUCAAGGGCUUACGUUUCCAUGAAGCACUGAGGAACAAACUGUUGCGCAAAAGGCCAACAACGAUGGCGGAGCUCCUCGCCACGUCUAAAAAUUACACCGAUGCCGACGAUGCAGAGAAACUAAUCCGGGACGAUGCGAGAGGUCCCGACCAGCCUCCCCGGUGAGAUGACGGUCGCGGUCGUUUCAACAACAUGAACCACCGCCGCCCCGACAACCGCGAUCAUAGAGAAGGCUGGGAUCGGCGGCGCGAUAAUCGCGACGACUUCAGAGGAAAGCGCCCCCGCGACCACGACCACGAAGUGAAUACGGCCAAGCGUCCCAACGGGCGGCGAGACUACCAAGAAGACUACAACAAAACGUUGAAGGGACCGUGCCAACUACAUCCAAAAUCUAAUCAUACCAUGGAAGGAUGACUCUGGUAAUCUACUUCUAAUUCAUUAUGCAAUUACUAAUCAUGUAUGUUCUGGUUCACAACUCUUUUGAGUACUUCUAAUCUAUAGGACCCUAUAGGUUAGAGUUGUAGUAUAGGUGUAAGCGUGGUGCUUAGACCUAGAUUACUUGUGGAUAUCCCCUGACUAGCUGGAUCGUGUGGUAGGCCGCGUAGGUGACAGUUACGUUGGUCCCCUGUAGUCCACCUCUCGUUAGCAGGACGGGUAGGGUUUAUCGGCCUAUGGAUAAGCAUCCUUUGUGGUGUACUCUUAUCACGUGGUUCGUCCCAGACAUAGACAUAUCCCUUUGAAGUAGAGAAACCAUAGUUAUCCUCUCUAUUCUGCUACCAUCGCCCAUAUACUAGAAUUGCUCUAUUCUCUAUUCCCAUAUUAUCACUUACUGUUAUCUUACCUUUAAUAUUGUUCUUAUUCGAUUCUAUCAUCUUUCCUAUUUACACCUUUCUAUCUAUCUUGGUUAAGUUAGAGCGUAGUUGGUUCUCCCGUUUCCCUGUGGAUACGAUAAAACCUUUAACCGGGUAAAAGCUUCAACGGUAUCUGUGCGCUUGCGGAUUAUCUGUGUGCGUAUAAAUACCAUAGUACACUCUAGUGCCAUGCUGGGGAUGACAACCUAGUAUUCAAGUGGUGUUAGCAAGUGUCAACAGCGGGCCUGCUAUUCAUCUCGCCCCUAGGCGUUCAUAUGAGGUAUGUCAUCAGAAUACAUUUUGCUGCAUCCAACAACGUCGCAGAGUACGAGGCCCUUGUCAAUGGGCUGAAGAUCGCCAUCGAGCUAGGAGUUUGACGGCUCGAUGUCCGAGGCGACUCCCAACUCGUCAUCGACCAAGUGAUGAACGCCUCCAACUGCCACGACCCAAAAAUGGAGGCAUACUGCAAGAAGGUACGUCGACUCGAGGAGAAAUUCCACGGCCUCGAGCUCGUCCACAUCGCCCGACGCUACAAUGAGGCAGCCGACGAACUCGCUAAGAUCGCUUCAACUCGAGGCACGGUCCCGCCCGACGCAUUCUAGAGAGAUCUGCACAAGCCAUCCGUCGACUUGGGCUCAGGGCUGACGUUGAAACCACCGCCCUCCAACAGACCGACGUCAUCGAAGCACCGCUAGCGGCAGCAGAAGUAAUGGAGGCAGAACAGCGACCCGGUCGACCGCUCGACUGGCGCACGCCGUUCCUCGAUUGCCUGAUUCGAUGCGAGCUACCAGAAGAUCGAUCUGAGGCCCGCCGUAUCACUCGACGGGCCAAAUCAUACGCGAUCUACGACGAAAAUAAUGAACUAUAUCGACGAAGCCCGACAGGAAUCUUGCAGCGAUGCAUCACCAUAGAGGAAGGCCGAAAGCUCCUCGAGGAUCUACACUCGGGGGCUUGCGGCCACCACGCUGCUCCGCGGACCCUCGUGGGGAACGCAUUCCGAUAAGGUUUCUACUGGACAACGGCCGUAGCCGACGCCAUCGAGCUCGUACGCUCAUGCCAUGGGUGUCAAUUUUAUGCCAAGCAGACGCAUCUCCCCGCUCAUGCCCUCCAGAUGAUCCCCAUCACAUGGCCAUUCACGGUGUGGGGACUCGACCUAGUAGGGCCUCUACAGAAGGCAGCAGGAGGAUACACCGAUUUGCUGGUGGCCAUCGACAAAUUCUCCAAAUGGAUCGAGGCUCGACCCAUCACGAACAUCUGCUCUAAGCAGGCCGUCCUUUUCUUCACCGACAUCAUCCACCGGUUUGGGAUUCCCAACGUCAUCAUCACCGACAACGGCACUCAGUUCACUGGCAAAAAGUUCUUGGACUUCUGUUUCCGGCAUCACAUCCGUGUGAACUGGUCCGCAGUGGCCCACCCACGAACUAACGGCCAGGUCGAGCAUGCCAACGACAUGAUUUUGCAGGGGCUCAAACCAAGAAUCUACAACCGGUUGAAGAAAUUCGGCAAGAAAUGGGUCGAAGAGCUCUCUUCGGUCCUAUGGAGCUUAAGGAUGACGCCCAGCAGGGCCAUGAAAUAUACCCCAUUCUUCAUGGUCUACAGCUCCAAGGCCGUGCUUCCAACAGACCUUGAGUAUGGGUCUCCUCGACUCAAAGCCUACAACGAGCAGUCAAAUAAGGAAACUCGAGAGAACGCGGUCGACCAGCUCGAGGAAGCUCGAGACAUAGCUCUCCUCAACUCCGCCAGAUACCAGCAAAAGCUUCGACGCUACCAGGAUAAGCACGUGUGCAAAAGGGAUUUGAACGUGGGCGAUCUUGUUCUACAGCGACGGCAAAGCAACCAAGGGCGCCACAAACUUUCUCCGCCAUGGGAGGGCCCAUACGUGGUGGCCGAGGUCCUGAAGCCAGGGACAUAUAAGCUCACGGACGAAAAAGGGGCAGUCUUCACCAACGCGUGGAACAUCGAAUAGCUACGUCGAUUCUACCCCUAGAAUUUCAAAGCUUUAUGUUCCCAUGUACAUUCUGUACCGAGACCUUAUGAAUGAAUGCAUGAAUGGAUAAGAUCUUUCCCUCGAGUAAUUUACUUUUUCUUUGGUCGAAAUCUCGACGUUACAAGGGAGUACCAACUAUGACCCAUCAUAGUCGAUACCCCCUCGGGGGCUAGCAGGGGGGACCCCCCCAAGUGUCUAAAAAACCAAGUGAUUUUUUCUUUCCUAUCAGUAAACCUCGCACGGUCGAGUAGUAGAGGCACCUCGAGGCCCUUAAGGGCCGAGAGACGACGAGCUUGAGAACUCCUACGCCCCCGGGCUAUGGUAACUCUACUCGCUCCCUCACCCUCAAGGCAAUCGAGGUCGCCUUAACAAAAGACCAAACGGGGAUACAGACAUAGGCAGAAAGGAAACAAAAGAGGGUGCGAACAAAGGAAUAGGCAAAUAUUCAGAGAUCUUAUAAACCACUUAAAAAACACAAUAUUUCCUUAAGACAAAACAAUAAGUACUGUACAAGGGGCCUUAGCACUCAGGACAGGCUCGCAGGCCUCAGUCGGUGUCUCGGCCCUCACCACCCUCGUCCACGCCCAAGCUAGUCUCGGGAGGAAGUACUUUCAGCUCGAACAGCUUCGCCAGCCUUUCCCUAGGGGCCUCUGUGUCGUCAAUCAAGGCAUGGAGCCUCUCCUCGUUCUCCACAUCGGUCUUGGAAAUGUCAGUGACGAAGCCGUGGGACACCACCUCCAUAUCAUAGGAAAAGCCCGAGUAGACAACCGCCUUCGCCCGCUUCACCCCGGUAUGAAGGGCGUCCCGCACCCGGUCCCUCAGCGUGGCACCUAGGUAACACAGCUGAUCGACCAGUGCGUCGCCUCGAGCCGCCUCCCUCGACUCGUCCAUAGGCUCGAAUUCCUAGGAGGCCGAGAGAUCGCUUAUCGCAGUCCGCAGCCGACCGUUCAAAGCGACCUCCCCCUCGAGUUGUGCCUUGGUGGAGCGGGCCUCGACUUGAGCAACUAGCAGCUCGUCUUUAAGCCCUACAAAGGCCGACACAGAGAAGUUAGAUAACACAAAGCACACCCUGGGAAAGAAACACGACGGUAGAAACAUACCAUGAAUUUUCUCCUCUAGAGCCAUAUUCACGCCAACCAAAUCAGUGUUGGCCCUCUCGAUCUCCCUAUGAGAGCGGACCAGGUCAGUAUUGGCGACCCACAAGUCCUCGAUCGCCUUGCCCACCUGUGUGAUAGCUCCAUCUUUCUCCAGCAACGCUCUCUUCAGACGAUCGACGUAAGCAGAGAGGCUGCGAGAUCGAGCCCGCUCCGUCUCGAGAUCCUCGAGGGCCUUCUUCUUGGCCUCUUCUACGGUGCUAUGAGCGAUCUCACCCUUCACACACUCCACCUUCAUCUCUUGGAAGGCCUCUCGGCUAGAGGCAAGGUCAGCCUUGAUAAGGACCUUUCCUUGUCGAGGUCGGCGGCUGCAUCCUUAUAGAAUGCGGCCUCUUCCCGAGCCUUGGACGCAGCCUCCUCGACCGUCAUGGUCUGCUCCCUCAGCAGCGUGGCCUCUUCCACCGCCUUCCUCAAGGCCUCCUGAGCUUCAGCCAGAGCGGCCUCCCUCUCCUUCUUCUCCACCUCGAGUGCCAAAAGCUCCUUGUAAGCCUUGAGGAGCUUCUCCUGCGACUCCAGGAGUUGGUCCUUGAGGAGAGGGAGUUGCUCCCAGCCGACCCUCGUCGCGUGGAUAAAGCUCGACUUUAAACGGGAGGUCUCUUUCAAAUCCUGCGAGCCAGCAGUUGGAUAGUAAGAACACGAAAACCAAACGUCCUAUGGUAGUUAAGGCCCAAAGACACUUACAAAAUAAGCCGGACCGAGCCCGUUGUUAACAACGUCGGACAGGAGCCCCACCACAUGCUUCAUCCAGAGGCGAAGCUCCUCGAGAUGAUCCCACUUUUCAGCCUCCUUCUAAUCAUCCAUAAAAUGUUAGGCUCGGACGGGUCAGUGGAGGCCCAAAUGCGGAUCCGAUCAGGGCACCAGUUUUCCAUCUCCUCCUCCGUGCGCGCCUUGACGCCCCGGAUGAGCUCUUAGAUGGUCUCGAGCGACCCCCUGUGACGCAAAAAUAGGUCAAUGAGGGAGGGGAAUCGCUCGUCGUCAUCCACGGUCCUCCAAGUCCCGGUCUCGCUUGCACCACCGCCGCCCGACGUCCUGGCUUUGUCUUCCUCGGCGAGAAUGCGAUCCUCCCAUGAUCGACGCUCUCGAAGGAAUCCAGGAGUGAUCCCCUCGAUGCCGUAGAUCAUGCCCUUGAUCUCGGACUGAGGGUCCACCGGGGUGCGCAUCAUGCAAGUAAGCGCCACCACGCCAUCCGUCCGCCCUAGCUCAGCCGGGAUAGAAGCGGGCACUCCCGGAUGGAUCCACGCAGUGGUAGGCGGACCAUUGACUGGCAGACCCUCCUCCCCGGUCUCAGGCCUCUGUGGCGACGGUGGCACUGGCUGGGGCGAGCUUCGCGGUGGCGGCUCAAGCAGUUCUUCUAACUGCUGACUGUGUUGUCACUGCUGCCUCUGGAGUUCGAGCAGCUGUAACAUCCCCGAUGUUACGAUUACUAAAAUUUGGAUCAUUGCAUCAUCAGCAUUGCACAGCAUAUUGGUUAAGCACACCUUUAUGCAUCAACUUAAAAUGAGUUUAAUUUGGUUGAAUGUGCUUAGGGAAUUAAAGUGUGUUUAUCUUGUUAGUGAUGCUUGAGUUGGUUGCUAAAACCCUAGGGUAAAGUUUUUCCGAAGGCUUAGGGGGGGGACCUUAAUUUGUGAACCCUAGAUUUUGCCCCCUUUCACACAAUUUGAAAACUAAGCAAAAUUUGAGGUUGAGUUCAAAAGCAAAGUUGUAGAUCUUGUCAAUAUGCACAACUUUGGUGUUUUGAGUUUUUGAAGUUUCUAUACAAAAUUCAAAGUAAUUUUGAAAAUACAGAUUUCUCGAAAGUGUCCCCUUUUCUAAUUUGAAUCUCCAAUUCAAAAUCUGUUUGGAAUUUUGAAAAGUGGUCAACAUGAAAGUUGUAGAGCUCAAAAGGUUGAACAACUUUCAUGUUGGGAGUUUUUCAAGUUGUUAUGCAAAAUCAAAAGUAAUUUUGGAAACCCUGUUUUGUCCCCAAUUCAAAAAUUUGAAUUUCUUUGAAUUGAGUUUGAAUUUCAAAACUGUUUGGCCAAAUUAGCUACUUUCCACUCAGAAUCAGCUCUGCCCACCAAAAGAUGAUUUGUAGCUUACAAAAUUUUGCACAACUUUUAUUUUGGUGGCAAUUUGGCUUUAGUUCAAACUUUGGCUGAUUUUCACAAGGGGACAAAAGGGGAGGAUAGGGGUUGCUACAGUGAUCCGAUGAGGAUCAUCGGCCCCUGUCCAGCGCAUCCGCCGCGCGAGCUGCGCCGCGCGCAUGCGUGCAAGCACGCAGCUGCUUGCUGCCAGAGCCGCCAGGCGACGAGGACGCCCUGGGCUCGCUCCUUCCUCCACUUGAGCACCAACGUGGACGACACCGCUCGAUUUCGCUGUCCACGGCCGAAGAAACCUGGCGUCUCCCUCUCUGAAAUUCACCGUACUCAGUUCCUCUCGAGCCAAAUUGAGCACUCUGUAGCAUUCGCCACCUCCUUGCAAACCCAGUGCACCUCCGAGUUCCCUCUCUAGUCCGCUCAAUCGCCGGGGCUACUCUUUCUUCUCCAACUCCGGCCGAAACCGCCGCCGAGAAACUCCUUCCGUGGCCACGUGAUUCCAGUAAGUAGCACGCGUUACUCGUGGUUGUUUUCGGUCCCUCUUCAGCUCCUACAGCUCAUGCGCUCGCUCUUUCCUCUUGGACGCGAACAGGAUCGCCGGAACAAGCUUGCCGGAGCCGGAGCACCCGCCCGACGGCACCGUCUUCAUCGCCCGCAGUCUCGGCUACCUCCCCGAGUCCCGCGACGUGAGCACCGUGCUCCUCAGCACUCCCUGAACCUCCCUACACCAUUCGUUUGCACUCUACCGGGCCCUAGUGGCCGGCCGACAGUCGGCCAUGGCGGCCGUCCGCCAGUGAUGCGGUUGAGGUAGAGAGAAGGCGGUAGAGUACGAGUAAGUCGUAGCAAUCGGUUCACGAAGGCGAGGCGGAGCUGAUGCGCGCGCGCGCGGGGUACGAGGGCCUCGCAGUGUCGCCGCGCGUGAAGGGAACGGAACUGACAGGUAGGGUCUUCCUGUCAGUGUCCCGCAGAGAGGAGGGGAGGCGGCGCCUGACGAGCGGGACCCGCUCGUCAGUGACCACGCGCAGGGGGAGCAGCGCACGCACAGCGUCCGCGCGGGCCGAGCUGGAGCGGGCCGGCCUGCGGGCCGAAUUCCGGCCACUCGCUGCAGUGUUUUUCCUUUUUCUUUUUAUGCAGUUUUUGAUUUAUAUUUGAAUUUAUGUAAUAAAUCUUGUGUAGAUCCAAAAAUCAUGGAAAUUUUUGUGUAGAUUCCCUAGAAUAAGUAGAACCCAAGAAAAAUAUUAGGUUCUGUUUUCUGAUAGUUUUCAAGGGUAUAAAAAUUGCCCCUUUUAAUUAGUAAAUAAAACUUCUAGGAAUUUUAACAAUUUAUUUAUGUGUCCAAAAAUCACCAAACUUUGUGGGGAGUCUCUGAAUAUUAUUUCCAGACUUCACACAAAAUUUGGAGGCAGUUGGAUAAUGUUUGAAUAAAAUAUUAAUAAACCCUUAUUUAGUAAUUAAAUAAUAAUUCCAAGAUAAUUAGAUAGUGAUUAGUUAAAUCCUCAUAAUUAGGGUUGAGUGAUUUUGGGAUUGUGUGAUGACCUGAGGUCAUUAACCCUAAUGACCUUUGGCAUUUAAUUAUUGUUUGGCCUUAAUGCUUAAUUACUGUCAUUAGUGUUUAAUUAAGAGUUAAUUAAGGUAAAUAGGAUUAAUAAUUAGUUAAUUCAGAAUAAUUAUGAAUUAAGAAAAAGUACCAAUUUACAGAUGCAACCUCUUGGGUAAAGACACUAAGAUGUUAAACAACUUUAAUUAUUAUUUAAUCUGUGUUGCACCGAGGCGGCCAGUUGUAUUUAACUUGGUCCCUUUUUGCAUAUUUGUCAUGCGCAUAUCAUGAGCAUUCUUCAUUUUGCGUAUAGUGCACGUGACCGAAGGAGCGCCCGUUGAACCGAACGCCGAGGUCGGUGCUCCGUUCGAAGAAGUAGGAUCCGAGACUUGGGAAGUCUCCGAGGGUCCCUCUCUGCCCUGCAACCAAGGCAAGCUCCGGAUGCAUUAACCCCUCCUUGAACGUUUUAAAUCUUUUAUCACUUAUGAAUUGAAAAUGCUGCAUUAGGUAGUUGAGAAUUGGUUAACCUACUUGCUGCAUUUACUACCGUGAUAUUUGUUAUCUUGUCCUUGACACCUGUUUUGUUUUACAACGGCGUAGUGAUGCUUAGCCCUGCUACUAGAUAGGUUUUCAAACAAGAAAGUUUGAAGGGUUGUUGUGGAAUACACUCAUGGUCAAUGAUGUUUCAACUUGAGACCGGUCGGCGGACUUGCUUUAAGAAUGGAGUCUUAAAGUAGUGUCUCCAACUGUGUCGGUUAAGGACCGGUCCGUUGAUGGCCCGCUGGGUUGAGAAUUUAUAGUACUAGCCACUUGCCCUCGGUAAGCCCGGUCUUGUGAUCCCUCGACGCGAACAGCUACUCGCGCACUGGGCGUGGAGCGAUGGCGAGAGUAGUGUGUACCCACCUUACGGAUCUGAGAUGACCGGGAAACAUCUAGAUCGGCUGUAGGAUGGUGGAGUACUGUGCUCUCGGGUGCCGUGAACCUGGUCAAAUUUGGGGAGAGCUUGAUUUGGGUUGAUAUAUGCAAGAUUUGGUUCUACAUAUGUCGGGUGGUUAGGAACUCCAGCUGGAUUGCUAAGCGGUUUGAAUCAUCGUUGCUCCCCGAUUGGGAGACUCAAUCCACUGCCCCUCAUCGUAGUUAAAUAUGCAACUAAGAGCUAAAAUGAGAAAGGGGGAAAAUGUCUCAUGAGGUUCAGAUCCCAAUUCCCGGACUCAGAGUGACAUGAAGCUAUGGCCGUUGGAUAGAUCAUACUUCGAUUAAGGACUAGGAACUUACAGACUUGUCUGUGAGAAGAAACUAGUUAGACUGUCCUCGAACUCCUCGGCCUCGUAAGGAGAGGAAUUCGUGGGUAAAACUUGAAAGUAAGGAUGCACUAUUAGUAAGCUUUUCCGCAAAAUACUUUGGCUCCUUGCUCAGCCACUCCUUGUCCACCCUAAGCCUGCAUCCCUAAUUUCUCCUCUUUUUCUGCCGGGUAAGUCUUGUUGAGUACUCCCGUACUCAGGGUUUUCCAACCCCCUGUUGCAGGUGAAGCCCAGGAGCCGACUUGUUUCGGACCCUGUUGUGUGACCGUCGUCGAAGUUGACGACGAAGAAGAGUGAGCGUGACCCAUGGGCAGGGUCUGUAAAUUUGUAACUUUUGUACUAAAGUUUAAGUUGCUCCGUUGGACCUGGCUUGUAAUAACACUCUUCUAUUUGGAAGAACUCCUUUUGUAAAUUAAGUUAUGUAAUACUUCCGCUGUUUUACUCUGAAAUAUUAUUUUAGUCUUGUGUCGUAUGUGAUACUGCAAUGUCUUUGCAACGAGUGAUCCUGGUGUUAAGGUGGCCACUUGCUAUGUGAUAAGGGCGAGGAGAAGACAUUUUCGUUAAAUGACCAUUGUUGGUGGUCAAGACGAGCUUGUUUAAAACAUCCCAGAUAGCGGUGGAAUGAGCGUCCUGAGAUGCUCAUCGGACUUCUAAAGUGGGAGGAUCCCCGGCAUUACCGUCAGAGGUCCCUGGGACAAUGACAAGUGUCGGUGGGCCCAAACACUUAGGAGGUUCUGCCACAGCUGGUAUCAGAGCAUUCGUUGCUAAGAUGACUGCUGUACCUCUUGAAAAACUUCAAAAUUCGUUUGGAUCCAAUACUAUAAACCUGCCUAUUUUGAGUCCAAGUGCUUAGUCCUACCUUACCCCUGUCUGUAGGCUUUCUUAGAAUUUUUGGAGUGGUUUGGAGGAGCGACAUUAAGUAUUGUCCUGGGUUGUAAAAGUAUUAAGUAAUAUCGUUACGAAUUGUUGAUAGGAAUCGUAAGUUCGUGCAGGCAUCAUGAUUUAUCACUUGGUUAAGUUCCUUCCUCCUUGUCGGGUUGGGUGAAUAGAAUCAAUCCUAUUCUUGCUAACCUUUAAGGUCUCUCUUACUAAUCUAAACUUACCCUCUACAGGAUGGCCUGUUGGAAACAGACCCCGCGCAAGAGGACAGGUCCAAAAGGAGUCCCCAGACUUCAGUUGGCCCUGCGCAGCGAUCAAGCGAGCAGUAGCCGUUCCCCGCCUCAACAGGAGGUGGAUAGGUUGUCCGCCGAGUUGAUUGAGGUGAUGAGAGAAAGAAUGUACAAUGUUAUGGAGAUCCGCGAACUUAAAGCUCAACUAGCCAAAGAAAAACAAGCUACCGAGAACUCUGAGGCCAUGUUGUCCCGUAUGGUGGAGGAGAGGAAUGCCGCCAUUGCCCGAGAAGAAGAGGCCAGGAGCGCACACAGGCACGAGCUGACUAGGAUGAAUGCGAAGCUGGGCAAGGCCAGGUACCUUAAAGAUUUGUACGUGAAGAUGGCGGCCACGGUCACCGCGCAGCUGGAUGUUGCGUGGCAGCGGGAGGACCAGCUCCAGUUGGAGAAGCUGGAGCUGGCACAUCACAUAGAUACCGUCAAUGACUUGGCAAUGCAAUAUCGUGAUAUUGCAUUUGACCUAUAUCAUCAGCUCCAUCCACCUCCAGGCGAAGGAUAGAUGGAUACGGAUGGCGAGUUGGCAGACGAUGGGGAACCCGAUCAUGGCCUCAGUGAUGAAGAGGAGUCCGACCCCGAUGACAACAACCCAGGGGGUAAUCAGGAUGAUGGCAAUGACGACCCGGGCUACAGCUCUGGCUACACCGACUAGUUCGAUGAAACCGCGGGCAACGUCGUUGUAGGAGUCCUAGCUUGCCGUAGUGGGGUCGGGUUUGUAAUAUAAGUUUUCUUUCGGUUUGAGAAGUUGUACUUGUUUGUUCCUGGUGUGUCGAACUAAUGUUUAAUAAAUAAAUGGAAGAAUGUAAGAUAUGUUCUACGUUAUGAAUUUCAUGUGGUAACAAGUACCUAUGAUUCUUGUAGCAGAUGCCGAUGCGUACACGCGGAUCUGAUGGAGCUGGGACAUCUCAGGGAGGGGAUGAUAUCCCCAACCCUCCACCUGCUCCACCUUCUUUGGCUGAUACCAUUGCUGUUCCGUUGAGUGCCACUACCGACAACGCUCGCUUACUCUGCGAGUUAGCACAACGUCAACCACACCCCGCCCCAAACUUCAGGGCACACCACAAUGGGGACGGAGAAGCUCGGUACGUGGACUUUACCGAGACAAGGCCCCUGGUAUUCACUAAGGCUGAUGAGCCAUUAGAAGUGGAUGAUUGGCUCCGGACCAUGGAGCACAAGUUCAGUUUGAUUCAGUGUUCAGAAACUCAGAAGCCCCUGUUCGCAGCUCAGCAGCUUCGAGGAGCUGCAGGUGGCGGUGGGAGAACUUCCUAGCUAUCCAAGCUCCGGGACACCAGGUCACCUGGACCGAGUUUAAGGACGCGUUCCACGCCCAUUAUAUCCCUGAAGGGCUCAUGGCCAUGAAGGCCGAAGAGUUUCUCGCCUUGCAGCAGGGCAAUAAAAGUGUCAUGGAAUACGUGGCAAAGUUUAAUCAUCUCUCUCAAUAUGCCACAGUCCAUGUGCACACGGACAGAAAGAAGAAAGCCUGCUUCAUGCGUGGUCUAAAUACUAAACUUCAGACCAUGAUGACCACCUGCCAAAAUGCUACCUUCUAUGAGGCGGUGAAUAUUGCCAUCGCCUCAGAGGAAAAGAAUAGAAAGCACAAAGAAGCCAAGAAGAAGACUGUUUCUUCCUCUUUCUCUGGUCGCGGUCAAAAGCGCCAGAGAAUCAUUUAUCAUCCGCUGGGCCACGGACGUUUUCAAGCGUCGUCACCUUAUCGUGGUCCCUUUUCCCCACCACAAUAUAGACUAGGGCAGCAGGUAUACCCUUGACCUACUGCCAUCGCUCUUGCACCACGCCAGCCGAACGCCCCAGGUGUUCGCCCCACUGCUCCGCCCAGCCACAAUUACCCUUGUUUCAAUUAUGGUAAGCCUGGGCAUUUCUCUAAAGAGUGCCCUUUCCCCCGCCAAACCAACCCUACCUUCCAAAGGCCACCUAUGGGCCAACCCCAGCCGGGUCAAUUCAGGACUGGGGUUCAGAAAGGACAACUUGUGCAAAGGGGGAAACCAGCGAAGAAAGUGGGACAAGUCUUCCAUACGGAGGUGGAGACGAUCCCGGAGGGUGAACCAGUAAUGAUGGGUACGUUUCCUGUCGUGAAACAUCUUGCUUUAAUGCUUUUUGAUUCUGGUGCAUCUCAUACAUUCAUCAAUCGCACCUUUGUGUUAAAGCAUGGCAUAGCCAUUGGGGAAACACAAGAUUAUUUUUAUAUACAGUCGCCAGGAGGGCGGCUGAGUUCUAAAGAAAUGGUUCACUAGAUACCCAUCGAAUUUGGUGGGCAUAGUUUUCCCACUAGCAUGAUUGUUCUUAAAGACCAGGAGAUUGAUGUCAUACUAGGCAUGAACUGGAUGGCACAACGAGGGGUUGUGCUAGACACUUUCCAUCGAACCAUUAAAAUCCCAUUGCCCAGUGAGAAAUCUUAUCUCCUAAUCCAGUUAGCUACUCCCAAGCGGACAAUUGGGCAAGUUCAUGCCGCUAAUGUGUCUGCAGUCGAAGAUAUCCCGGUAGUUCGGGAUUUUCCGGAUGUAUUUCCUGAAGACCUACCAGGUCUGCCACCGGAUCGGGAUGUACAAUUCAGUAUAGAAUUGAAACCAGGGACAGCCCCAAUAUCUCGAAGGGCCUACAGAAUGGCACCGAAAGAGCUGGCCGAAUUAAAAACCCAAUUACAAGAGCUAUUGCAGAAAGGUUUUAUUCAGCCCAGUUCUUCUCCAUGGGGUUGCCCAGCCUUGUUUGUGAAAAAGAAAGAACAAACAUUAAGGCUGUGUGUCAACUAUCGUCCCCUAAAUGAGGUGACGAUUAAGAAUAAGUACCCGUUGCCCCGUAUUGACUUAUUAUUUGACCAGUUAGCUGGGGCCAAAGUAUUCUCAAAAUUUGAUUUGAGAUCAGGGUACCACCAAAUUAAAAUUAGGCCGGAAGAUGUGCCCAAGACAGCUUUUACAACCCGUUACGGGCUGUAUGAAUACUUGGUAAUGUCUUUUGGGUUGACCAAUGCACCGGCCCAUUUCAUGUACCUGAUGAACUCUAUCUUCAUGCCCGAACUAGACAAAUUUGUAGUCGUCUUUAUUGAUGACAUCUUAAUCUAUUCCAAGACUAAGAAAGAACAUGCUGAACAUUUGAGAAUCGUGCUAACCCGUCUUAGGGAGCAUCAACAAUAUGCCAAGUUCAGCAAAUGUGAGUUCUGGCUAGACAAAGUUCAUUUCCUGGGGCAUGUAUUAUCAGCGGAGGGAGUCGCUGUAGACCCAGGCAAGGUAGAAGACGUGUUGAAUUGGAAACCCCCGACUACGGUACAUGAGGUCCGUAGUUUUCUAGGUAUGGCGGGAUAUUACCGUCGUUUUAUCCCAGACUUUUCAAGAGUCGCCAAACUAAUCACGACCUUGCUCAAGAAUCAAACAAGAUUUGUUUGGUCACCUCAGUGUGAGCAAGCCUUUCAGACUCUGAAAAGAUUAUUGACAACUGCGCCUGUCUUAGCCCAACCAGAUAUUGAAAAACCCUUUGAUGUGUAUUGUGACGCAUCAGGGAUUGGGAUAGGCUGUGUGCUAAUGCAGGAGGGUUGCGUAAUUGCAUAUGCUUCCAGACAGCUUAAACCACAUGAGGAGAAUUACCCGACCCAUGAUCUUGAACUAGCCGCCGUGGUACAUGCACUAAAGAUCUGGCGCCAUUAUCUGUUGGGGAACACAUGUCAUUUAUACACCGAUCACAAAAGCUUGAAGUAUAUUUUUACUCAAGCCGAGCUUAAUAUGCGCCAGGGAAGGUGGCUAGAACUAAUCAAAGAUUACGACCUUGAGGUGCAUUAUCAUCCUGGCAAGGCAAAUGUAGUAGUUGAUGCCCUCAGUCGUAAGGCUCACUGUAAUUACUUAACAGUGACGCCUAGAGAUAUAACUUUGUGCCAAGAGCUAGAGAACUUGGGGAUAGAAAUGAUUUCCCAAGGGAGCCUUGCCAAUCUAAAGAUUGACUUCAAUCUCGAAGCUCAAAUCAUAGAGGCACAAAAGGAAGACAAAGGCAUGAAACAUCUUAAAGAGAAAAUUUUUAAUAGAGCACCCACAGACUUUAAGGUGGAUGAUGCACGAGUAAUCUCGUUCAAGAACCGGUUAGUGGUUCCAAAGGUACCUGAGCUACGUCAACAAAUCCUGGAUGAAGCUCAUACCACGAGGUAUUCUAUUAAUCCGGGAAGCAAUAAGAUGUAUCGGGACCUAAAGCAAAGGUGUUGGUGGACAAAAAUGAAGAUAGAAAUAGCUCGCUAUGUGGCCCAAUGUGACACCUGCCGAAAAGUCAAAGCUAUUCAUCUCAAAUCCGCUGGAGAGUUGCAACCCUUGCCUAUUCCAGCAUGGAAAUGGGAUGACAUAAGUAUGGAUUUUAUAGUAGGAUUGCCUAAGACAGCCAAAGGCUUUGAUUCAAUUUGGGUCAUUGUAGAUCGUCUCACCAAAACAGCACACUUUUUACCUAUAAAGAAAUCGUAUCAUACUUCCACCUAUGCUCAGAUCUAUUUUGAUCGUAUAUUAAGUCUGCAUGGGGUGCCAAAGACAAUAGUGUCAGAUAGAGGCACACAAUUUGUCUCCCAGUUCUGGAAAUGCUUACAUGAAUCCUUGGGCACCAAACUUCUAUUAAGAUCUUGUGCCCUGAAUUUUCCGGAUAAGUGGGAUGACUGCUUGCCUCUAGCAGAAUUUUCUUACAACAAUAGCUACCAAGAGAGUAUCAAGAUGGCUCCCUUUGAGGCACUAUAUUGCCUUCGAUGUCGAACUCCGUUACACUGGUCGGAACCCGGAGAAAGAUGGUUCUUCGGGGUUGACUUAGUGAAAGAGACUGAAAACAAAGUUAAACAAAUUCAAAAUAACUUGAAAGUUGCUCAGUCCCGACAGAAAAGCUACGCCGAUAAAAGACGUCGACCGUUAAGAUUCGCCAAGGGUGACCAUGUAUAUUUGAAAGUGUCCCCAAUGAAAGGAGUGAAUCGUUUUGGUGUUAAAGGCAAGUUAGCGCCCCGUUACAUUGGUCCAUUUCCAAUUAUUGACCGAUGUGGACAGGUAGCUUACCGCCUUAAACUGCCCGAACGAUUAUCCGGGAUACAUAAUGGGUUCCAUGUGUCUCAACUGAAGAAGUGUCUUCGGGUACCAGACCAGGUUCAAGAUAUUGAAGAUGUAGAACUUGAACCAGAUCUAACUUAUUCGGAGUAUCCUAUCCGAGUACUGGAUCAAAGGAAGAGAGUUAAUCGAAGAACGACUACCAAGUGGUACAAGAUAUAGUGGAGCCAACACUCUGAAGAGGAAGCCACCUGGGAAUCUGAAGACUAUCUGCUGGGGAAUUUUCCUGAAUUCCACGCUUCUCUUUAGGACAACAGCUGAUACAUAGGGAGCGUACUCUAGUGAAGGAAAGGAGUAGCCAACGCCAUGUACUUUGUGUACAUAUAUGUUUAUAAUGGAGUGGUUUUCCCCAACUUCUUGUUUUAUGAGAAAGUUGAAGAUGAAAAAGUUUUGACAAAUUUCCUUUUCCAUUACUCAUCCUAAGGCUUUAAAUCUCGAGGACGAGAUUUCUUUAAGGGGGAAAGACUGUAACAUCCCCGAUGUUACGAUUACUAAAAUUUGGAUCAUGGCAUCAUCAGCAUUGCACAGCAUAUUGGUUAAGCACACCUUGAUGCAUCAACUUAAAAUGAGUUUAAUUUGGUUGAAUGUGCUUAGGGAAUUAAAGUGUGUUUAUCUUGUUAGUGAUGCUUGAGUUGGUUGCUAAAACCCUAGGGUAAAGUUUUUUCGAAGGCUUAGGGGGGGACCCUGAUUUGUGAACCCUAUAUUUUGCCCCCUUUCACACAAUUUGAAAACUAAGCAAAAUUUGAGGUUGAGUUCAAAAGCAAAGUUGUAGAUCUUGUCAAUAUGUACAACUUUGGUGUUUUGAGUUUUUGAAGUUUCUAUACAAAAUUCAAAGUAAUUUUGAAAAUACAGAUUUGUGGAAAGUGUCCCCUUUUCUAAUUUGAAUCUCCAAUUCAAAAUCUGUUUGGAAUUUUGAAAAGUGGUCAACAUGAAAGUUGUAGAGCUCAAAAAGUUGAACAACUUUCAUGUUGGGAGUUUUUUAAGUUGUUAUCAAAAAUCAAAAGUAAUUUUGGAAACCCUGUUUUGUCCCCAAUUCAAAAAUUUGAAUUUCUUUGAAUUGAGUUUGAAUUUCAAAACUGUUUGGCCAAAUUAACUACUUUCCACUCAGAAUCAGCUCUGGCCACCAAAAGAUGAUUUGUAGCUUACAAAAUUUUGCACAACUUUUAUUUUUGUGGCAAUUUGGCUUUAGUUCAAACUUUGGCCGAUUUUCACAAGGGGACAAAAGGGGGAGGAUAGGGGUUGCUACAGUGAUCCGAUGAGGAUCACCGGCCCCUGUCCAGCGCAUCCGCCGCGCGAGCUGCGCCGCGCGCAUGCGUGCAAGCACGCAGCUGCUUGCUGCCAGAGCCGCUAGGCAACGUGGACGCCCUGGGCUCGCUCCUUCCUCCACUUGAGCACCAACGUGGACGACGCCGCUCGAUUUCGCUGUCCACGGCCGAAGAAACCCGACGUCUCCCUCUCUGAAAUUCACCGUACUCAGUUCCUCUCGAGCCAAAUUGAGCACUCUGUAGCAUUCGCCACCUCCUUGCGAACCCAGUGCACCUCCGAGUUCCCUCUCUAGUCCGCUCAAUCGCCGGGGCUACUCUUUCUUCUCCAACUCCGGCCGAAACCGCCGCCGAGAAACUCCUUCCGUGGCCACGUGAUUCCAGUAAGUAGCACGCGUUACUCGCGGUUGUUUCCGGUCCCUCUUCAGCUCCUACAGCUCAUGCGCUCACUCUUUCCUCUUGGACGCGAACAGGAUCGCCGGAACAAGCUUGCCGGAGCCGGAGCACCCGCCCGACGGCACCGUCUUCGUCGCCCGCAGUCUCGGCUACCUCCCCGAGUCCCGCGACGUGAGCACCGUGCUCCUCAGCACUCCCUGAACCUCCCUACACCAUUCGUUUGCACUCUACCGGGCCCUAGUGGCCGGCCGACAGUCGGCCAUGGCGGCCAUCCGCCAGUGAUGCGGUUGAGGUAGAGAGAAGGCGGUAGAGUACGAGUAAGUCGUAGCAAUCGGUUCGUGAAGGUUAGGCGGAGCUGAUGCGCGCGCGCGCGGGGGGGCCGAGGGCCUCGCUAUCGGCCGCUGGAGCUGCGGCAGUGUCGCCGCGCGUGAAGGGGACGGAACUGACAGGUAGGGUCUUCCUGUCAGUGUCCCGCAGAGAGGAGGGGAGGCGGCGCCUGACGAGCGGGACCCGCUCGUCAGUGACCACGCGCAGGGGGAGCAGCGCACGCACAGCGUCCGCACGGGCCGAGCUGGAGCGGGCCGGCCUGCGGACCGAAUUCCGGCCACUCGCUGCAGUGUUUUUCCUUUUUCUUUUUAUGCAGUUUUUGAUUUAUAUUUGAAUUUGUGUAAUAAAUCUUGUGUAGAUCCAAAAAUCAUGGAAAUUUUUGUGUAGAUUCCCUGGAAUAAGUAGAACCCAUGAAAAAUAUUAGGUUCUGUUUUCUGAUAGUUUUCAAGGGUAUAAAAAUUGCCCCUUUUAAUUAGUAAAUAAAACUUCUAGGAAUUUUAACAAUUUAUUUAUAUGUCCAAAAAUCACCAAACUUUGUGGGGAGUCUCUGAAUAUUAUUUCCAGACUUCACACAAAAUUUGGUGGCAGUUGGACAAUGUUUGAAUAAAAUAUUAAUAAACCCUUAUUUAGUAAUUAAAUAAUAAUUCCAAGAUAAUUAGAUAGUGAUUAGUUAAAUCCUCAUAAUUAGGGUUGAGUGAUUUUGGGAUUGUGUGAUGACCUGAGGUCAUUAACCCUAAUGACCUUUGGCAUUUAAUUAUUGUUUGGCCUUAAUGCUUAAUUACUGUCAUUAGUGAUUAAUUAAGAGUUAAUUAAGGUAAAUAGGAUUAAUAAUUAGUUAAUUCAGAAUAAUUAUGAAUUAAGAAAAAGUACCAAUUUACAGAUGCAACCUCUUGGGUAAAGACACUAAGAUGUUAAACAACUUUAAUUAUUGUUUAAUCUGUGUUGCACCGAGGCGGCCAGUUGUAUUUAACUUGGUCACUUUUUGCAUAUUUGUCAUGCGCAUAUCAUGAGCAUUCAUCAUUUUGCGUAUAGUGCACGUGACCGAAGGAGUGCCCGUUGAACCGAACCCCGAGGUCGGUGCUCCGUUCGAAGAAGUAGGAUCCGAGACUUCUGAAGUCUCCGAGGGUCCCUCUCUGCCCUGCAACCAAGGCAAGCCCUGGAUGCAUUAACCCCUCCUUGAACGUUUUAAAUCUUUUAUCACUUAUGAAUUGAAAAUGCUGCAUUAGAUAGUUGAGAAUUGGGUUAACCUACUUGCUGCAUUUACUACCGUAAUAUUUCUUAUCUUGUCCUUGACACCUGUUUUGUUUUACAACGGCGUAGUGAUGCUUAGCCCUGCUACUAGAUAGGUUUUCAAACAAGAAAGUUUGAAGGGUUGUUGUGGAAUACACUCAUGGUCAAUGAUGUUUCAACUUGAGACCGGUCGGCGGACUUGCUUUAAGAAUGGAGUCUUAAAGCAGUGUCUCCAACUGUGUCGGUUAAGGACCGGUCCAUUGAUGGCCCGCUGGGUUGAGAAUUUAUAGUACUAGCCACUUGCCCUCGGUAAGCCCGGUCUUGUGAUCCCUCGACGCGAACAGCUACUCGCGCACUGGGCGUGGAGCGAUGGCGAGAGUAGUGUGUACCCACCUUACGGAUCUGAGAUGACCGGGAAACAUCUAGAUCGGCUGUAGGAUGGUGGAGUACUGUGCUCUCGGGUGCCGCGAACCUGGUCAAAUUUGGGGAGAGCUUGAUUUGGGUUGAUAUAUGCAAGAUUUGGUUCUACAUAUGUCGGGUGGUUAGGAACUCCAGCUGGAUUGCUAAGCGGUUCGAAUUGUCGUUGCUCCCCGAUUGGGAGACUCAAUCCACUGCCCCUCAUCAUAGUUAAAUAUGCAACUAAGAGGUAAAAUGAGAAAGGGGGAAAAUGUCUCAUGAGGUUCGGAUCCCAAUUCUCGGACUCAGAGUGACAUGAAGCUAUGGCCGUUGGAUAGAUCAUAUUUCGAUUAAGGACUAGGAACUUACAGACUUGUCUGUGAGAAGAAACUAGUUAGACUGUCCUCGAACUCCUCAGCCUCGUAAGGAGAGGAAUUCGUGGGUAAAACUUGAAAGUAAGGAUGCACUAUUAGUAAGCUUUUCCGCAAAAUACUUUGGCUCCUUGCUCAGCCACUCCUUGUCCACCCUAAGCCUGCAUCCCUAAUUUCUCCUCUUUUUCUGCCGGGUAAGUCUUGUUGAGUACUCCCGUACUCAGGGUUUUCCAACCUCCUGUUGCAGGUGAAGCCCAGGAGCCGACUUGUUUCGGACCCUGUUGUGUGACCGUCGUCGAAGUUGACGACGAAGAAGAGUGAGCGUGACCCAUGGGCAGGGUCUGUAAAUUUGUAACUUUUGUACUAAAGUUUAAGUUGCUCCGCUGGACCUGGCUUGUAAUAACACUCUGCUAUUUGGAAGAACUCCUUUUGUAAAUUAAGUUAUGUAAUACUUCCGCUGUUUUACUCUGAAAUAUUAUUUUGGUCUUGUGUCGUAUGUGAUACUGCAAUGUCUUCGCAACGAGUGAUCCUGGUGUUAAGGUGGCCACUUGCUAUCUGAUAAGGGCGAGGAGAAGACAUUUUCGUUAAAUGACCAUUGUUGGUGGUCAAGACGAGCUUGUUUAAAACAUCCCAGAUAGCGGUGGAAAGAGCGUCCUGAGUUGAUCAUCAGACUUCUAAAGUGGGAGGAUCCCCGGCAUUACCGUUAGAGGUCCCUGGGACAAUGACAAGUGUCGGUGGGCCCAAACACAUAGGAGGUUCUGCCACAGCAGCUCCUACUGCCGGUCCUCCUCCAGCAGCUCCUCAAGCCGUUCCCCUUGUUGCCGCCUCCCCUCCUCUCCUUCUUCUACUUCCUGCUGCAGUUGUUGCCCCCCCUCCUGCAGCUGUUGCUGCAUCUCCCGCUCGCACUCUUCAGCCCGAUGGGCCAAGGCAUCCGCUCCGUGACAAGGGAAGCCUCGACCUCCUCGUCCGCGGACCGGGCGUCCUUCGGAAGCCUGUCACCGCUGGACCCGUCACUUAUAGUGAUAGGAUCCCUCUCGACCCUAGAAUGGGGAGGCUCCGGGGCUCCCUCCUACUCUUGGGGGCGAGGCGCCUCGACCCGCUUCGGUGAUGGCGGGGUGGACUCCCCCACCAAUGGAUGAGGCGAGGCGCUCUCGACACCUGUCGGCGACCGAGGAACGAAGGAGCCUAUAAGCGCUCGAAUGCAAAAAGUCAGUCACCAUGAUAAUCAACAUAAGGGUAACACGACUCCUAUAAUAUCAAGAAAGGAAUGAGCUACUAACCCGAGUCCUUGGAAGCCGUGCCCACCUUGAGCCUCUUGGCCAUCGAGAGCUGGGCCUGUUCGAGCGGCUGCUUCAACCUGAGGAAAGUGGAAUAAGCGUAAAGAAGCCGUUACCCGAGAAAAUGCAAGGACAUCGAAAGGAAAGAAUCAGUACGUCGAAGAUCUUACCCCACAGGAAGAGCGACCCGUCGACGAGCGCCUCAACCAGCAGGCCUCAAGCCACCCCGCGUCGAGGCUCCGGCCCCCUCACGAACGGGCGCAUGUCUCGGCCCGGCGUCUCCCGCCUGACCAGCACCUGGACUAGUACUCCCACGACCCGUUUCCCCCUUACUCGAGGCCGCGGCGCGACCACGGGUCAACGGCCUCGUCACCAGAGACUUAACCCGAUCGCCCGCCUUAGAUGCAGGGGGAGGUUGGGGGUUGGGAAUGGUCUGACCUUGCGCAGGCGCCGGGGGGUGUCGGCGCGAGAGCGAUACGGAGAUGACUCCCUCUGUUGACUCUCACGAGGCCUGCUUGGUGCCCCCUUAGGGACUCCCGUCCUCAGGACGUCGACGCCAGUCUGAGGCGGACCCUCGAGGAUCCUUUCGAGACGGGACGCCAUCCCAUUGGAGUCGUCGCUGUCGUCGUCACCCUCGCCACCAUCGUACCCAUCGGGGGAUUCUUCUUCAGGCUCCCCCCUCUGCCUGGACUUCGCUCGACGAGUCUCCAAUGCUUGUCGCGCAAGAUUUUUCUUCUUUUCCUUCUUCUUUUCCAAGUCCUUUACAGACUUUAGCUUCUACGCAGACUCGCGCCUCUUGUCGCGAUCCACGUCAUCCUCCUUCACUGGAGGCUUCGAGGAUCGAGCGUCGAUCGAUCCCUGCAUGAGCAAAGAUAAGUCUUAAAGAAGGUCGAAGAAAACCAAGAAUUGAAGCUAUAAGUGGAAGAGGGACUUACCAGGUCAAUCGAUCCCUGAUCGGGCCUCAUAGGGAAGCCAUUGACAUGCUCAGACUUAAAGUCGCCUGCAACGGCCGCCCUGACUCUGGCCGCCACCUCGUCGUCCGCAGGCGCUUCAUUAGACAUCUGGCAAACCUCGAGAACGUGAGACGAGACGCCAGGGCCCAUCACGUCCAUCCUCAACGGCCGGGACAUCAACGGGAGCACUCGUCGAUGAUGUACGACGGAAAGGACGAGCCCCGCCGUUAGGCCCUCCUCAUGCAGCUUCUUCAGGGCGUCGAGGAUGGGAUCGAGCCGCGAUUGGUGGGCCUGGACAACACCGUACCUCCAAUGGUCCGGGCGCUCCGACAUCAAGCGCCCGGUGUAGGUAGGGAGGAGGUCGUCGUCAUUCCACAGGAAGAACCAUUGGGAGUCCCACCCGGCGUGGUUCGACAUCAACCCCACCGGGAUGUACUCACGCGGUUUCUCCGCCUUGCCAGUCUUCAUCACCAGGUUGAGGCACCCGGCCCACACCGGCUUCCUCACCCCUGUGGUUCCACUAGGGGAGUGGAAGAGCUCACCCCGGUACCAGUGGAGCCACAGGUCCCAGUGUGGCAUCAUCCCGAGAUGGCCCUCACACACCACGGCAAAAAUCACCGCGACAGUGAUGGCAUUUGGCGAAAAAUGCUGGAGCUCCACCCCGUAGUGGUGGCAGAGCGCCCGCAUGAAAUGACUCGGAGGGGAGCCCAGGCCGUGGCAGUGGAACUUGGCGAAGGAGACCACGUAGCCCUUGGGCGGCCUUGGCUCCCGGUGGUCCGCCGCCAACGCGAUCCACUCUGGCCUCGACGACGAAACACGGGGGCGCAGGAGCCCCUCCCUCUCGAGCUCCAACAGCCGACGCUCCGUCAUCGACGAUGGGCGCCAGUCAUCGGUGGCGAUGAGUCUCACCGGCAUCUUGAGGAGGAGGAAGAGCAACUGAGCUACUGCUCGAGGGUGCACGCGCGCGGAAAAUGGUAAGGAGGCAGAGGCAAGAGCAAAGGUGGAAGGCGGAAGACGGAAGGAGUAACGAUCAGGAGACCCGGGGAUAUUUAUAGACGGCCGCCACCAACGGACAGAUCCGACGAAUACGGUAACUCCCCUAAUAUUACGUCGCCUAACGGUCCUUAUCUCUCUCACAGACGGGACUCUACGGAUUCCACGCCGGUACAGUGCUGCAACGGCUCCCGCCUGAAAAGACACGCCCAACGGGCAAAAAGGCGAACCGCCACGGCCUUUUCCUUCCCUUGUAAGCUAAGGUACGCGCUCGAUGCGGCGAAAAUCUCGAGAGGUCGCAGGCUGACCCACCGAAUGGGUUCGACAGCCGAUCUCGAGUACCAAAGUCUGGGAUGCCCAGUGAGUGGUCAGAAAUCGAGGCCCUGUUGACGGUCCUUAAUGCUCACAAUUAACCAUCAAUUAAUCAUGGAAAAGGAUCCAAAUGCAACCAACACCUAGACUUAGGGUUUUAUCUAAUAGAAUUCCACGAGUUUUGGUGUUUGUCUAUUUCUGCAGGGGGUUAUUAGGAAAUAUGGAGGAAAGGCCCACACGUCGGGUUUACAUAGAGAUAUUAACGUGCCGCGCAAUUUUCUAUCACCUAGAAGAUUCCAGAAGCCACGGGACCGAAGCGGAAGCCGAGAGGCCUCAGGGACAGGGCGCCCGCCCUAGUCCUGAGGGCGCCCGCCCUCAGCCAGAGUCCAAUCAGGACUCUAUUUCGGGAUAUUGCUCCACCGACCUAAAGGAUCAACAAUAACCGUUCAAUCAAUGUCGGUUUGAUCCAACGGCCCAGAUUCACUUGAAGGGACUAUAAAACCAGACCCCCUGGCCCCUGGAGAUCAUACCUCUUCUACAGAAUCAAAGCUAGGGUUUCAAUUCUUCAUCCAAGUAGAGAGGAUCCCUCUAGUUCUUCUAGUUCUAGUUCAUCUAGUUCUAGUUCUAGUUAGUUCUAGUUGUAAUCUAGAAAAUAGGGAGAGAGAAGAGGAGAGCGGAGGAGGAACCGGAUCUGUCGGAUCUUCCUCAACAUUAUACUUUUGCAGCAUCUGGUUCGUUCUUCAUUGUUCUCCAGGUUCUUCAAUUCAUAAUUCCUGAGUUCUUUAAUUACUUUUAUUUACAUUCAAGUUAUUUAUUGGAUUCCCGCUUGCAUCAAGUGCUCUAGUCUUUAUAACGCUAGAGUAGUAAUUAAUAGAUUAGACGUGGUGUUUAGUCUUGCGAUUACCUGGAAUUGCACCCAAUCCUGCGGAUUGUUGUGGUAGCCUUAGGGUAGUGACAGCCCUAACGGUCGACGUAUUCCACCACGUUCGGAUCGGUGUUUGUAGGACCGUAGUCAUACCUUCCUAGCCCCCUUCUCAUCUCUUUCUAUGGUUAGUGCUCUGAUGUCCCGAUAUAGAUAAUCUUGAAGUAAUUCUUGAUUCUUAGAUCAACUAGAGAACUCUCAGGAAACUUCCUCUCUUCCCACCAAAAAUAUUCAUAUAGUUAUCCUUGGGCGAUCUUGGAUCUUAAUUAGUACACUCACGUUCUCUGUGGAAAAUCGAUACUCUGGAAUACUCCCGGGUGAAGGCUACAUCGGUAUCCGUGCGCUUGCGGAUUUUUCUGUUUGCGUUUAAAAUACCCAACAAGCUUUCUGGCGCCGUUGCCGGGGAACGGUAGCUGUGCUAGUUUCGAACCAAGUCGUCCGUGUAUCCUUUUUCUUUUCCUUUUUACCACACUCACCCUAUCAUUUUCACCAAACCACAUGGAUUUCACACUAAGCAUUAAUGAGCAUGGAAAUUAUUUCAUAGCCACUUCAUUUACUCCAUGCUCAUAUGCAACAUCUUCACAAUCCAUUGGUCUUUCCAACAUCACCACAUUCGAGAUCUCCAACCCCCUCAUCCUUUCUAUUUAUAAAAACAUUAAAAGGGCGGUUGUCGAUGCAUAUGUCUAUAAUAAAUUUUGCAGAUCUCGUUGAGUUGAUCUUGCUAUAGGUCAGCGUUGGAGGGGAAACCACUUCGUUGACAUAAAUUAAUGGUUUCCCCAAGGACAACCUUAGUGUCCUAAAACAAGCACUGAUCAGAUCGUAACAUGAGCUUUUAAUUAUUUGCAACAUUACCUUGUGUGUUGAGCAUAUAAGGAUAAUUGUAAAAACAUUCCUUCGGGUAUUCUUGUCACUAACCUUUCUAGGAUUGGAGCAAGAAGAUCGAAUGAAUGACAAGCACAAGGUAUGUACAACCAAUCAUCAUACAACAUUGAAUUAAAUUCAUCCAAACUUGAAUUUUGCAAAAUUCAAGCUUGGGGGAGUACUUUACAUAAAAACAUCCUUUGCCCUGUUGCUAUGUUGGUUGUCCCUACCCUUAAGACAUGCUCAAUUUUGUUAAAUACUAAUCACACUACUUCAUCUCCACUUGAGUAGAUCUCUAUAAAUGCUUUCAUGCUACCUUUAUUUGCUUUAUUAUAUGUCUAGGCUUGGAGUAGUUUCAUUUAUCUCUUAAUUAAGCAUGGUGCUUAGUUUAGGAAUGAUGAUCUUACUUCCAAAGGAUUUUAAAUUAAGCAAGAUGCUUAGGUUAAAAUUCCCUCCUAAAUCAAAUUAGACAUGGUGUCUAGGUUGAUCUUUGAGCCGAUAGUAUGCUAUAGUAGAUAUUGGAUAUUUUGUUGGACUAACCCCUGCAGGAAAACAUUCAAUAUCGACCUGGGAUGUCCUGAGACAAACUCACAUUGGAGACAAAGAGAGAGACACAUGAAGUUUAACAAUUUGCACGAGGAAGGCAUAGCUCACAAGAGAUGAUCCAUGGAGGGUGCCACAAACACGAUGCACAACCGCUAAGAGAGGAAAGCUUUCACAAGGUGAUACUGUACCAUCACUCUUCGAGUAAGGUAACAUCUUAAGGUACACUUGGAGCAAAAUAUGAAGGACUUUUACAACUCCCAGACUCCACCAAGUGAAGAACCUAGAUCUACGAGCACAAACACACUAGAGAUACUGGACACUCAGGUAAUCACUGCCCUGAGAUGCUUGAGGACACAACUACUGGAGUAACCCCAUUGUGGAAGUAAUUACUGACCUUCUGCCGGUCAAGAGAGACAAUCCAGGACGCCCCGUCAUCCCGAUCUCCAUCGGCAUGGUGGACUUCCUAGAAGCACUCUGUGACUUUGGCUCCAGCAUCAACAUUAUGCUCAGGCUUGCAGAUUAGACACUAAGUUCCCCAAAAGGGAAUAUUGAAGAACCUCUGCGUCCGAGUUGGUACCUUGUACGCCCCAGCAGACUUCGUGGUGAUAGAGACUGGUACUGAUGAGAGGGCACCUAUCAUCCUAGGGAGACCAUUCCUGAACACCUCGGGAGCUAUCAUCUACGCUAGUGCUGCCAAGAUCAGUUUCUACAUCAAGGGAAGGAAGGAGACGUUUUCCUUCGAGAACAAGAUUACACAAAUCUCAGAGCAAUCCAGACAGGAACCAAGGAACAGGACCAACAGGAGGAAUAGAAACAAGCAAAUGUGGACCGAGUCAGCUAAGAUGGUCACUACAGUUCAAGGAGGUCAAGAUCGUCGACUUAAGUCACCGUUCCUAACCAAAAAGGACGACCCAAGUAAGCCAAGCAUCCAGUGCUCCAUUGAUGGAUACAACUUCCAGAAGAUGCUUUGCGACACCGGGUCAGGCGUCAACAUAAUGGCCGCAGUCACCUAUCAACUCCUGUUUGGAACCAUGCUCCUAAAAUCGACAUACAUUCAGCUCCAGAUGGCAGAUCAGACAUUCCGAAAGGUUGAAGGUUAUUGACAUGAGAGAAGACGAAUUCGAUCUACCCGUCAUCCUUGGAAGACUGUUCCUCAGCACCGUUAAAGCAAUCAUCUACAUUGGAACCGGAGAAGUCCACAUGCAAUUCCCCUCUGAGAAGGUACGCCACUAUUUUACUGACCCUAACUAUAUAGUUGAAGACUCUAAGCAGGUCAGGACAAGAAGAAGACGACGCAACCGUAACCAGAGGAGGAAAAUCAUAAAGGACGGAUGGGUAGACUACGAAGGAGAAGUGGUAAUGUCUGAAGACAUACAACUUGAACAGAACUGUCCUGAGGAGACCGUAGCACCGAGUCAGGCGUGGAGAAAGAAGAUAGUUAUACAUGAAGAGCAGGCGCCACCGGAACCACCGAAUACGCCAUCCAGCAAAUCCCAGGACGAAUGAGAAAAUGGAGAGUCCCGUUCGGAGGACUUAAAAACACCGAACGCCUUGCCAAGAGGUAAACUUGGUAGUUAUCUUUUUCCUUUCAAUUAUUUAAAAUAGUUUGCUUAGUUAAUUAGGUUCAUAUCAUUUUGAAAAGAAAAUAAAAAUGUUAAAAAUAGUAAGCCCCAUGUGAGUAUGCUCAUGGCAUAAAACCCAUAAGUACAUUCACUGUGGUGGCAUAAAAAAAUAAAAUAAAUAUAUUCCUAUCCUAUAAAAAUGAAAAUAUAAAAAUAAAAUUAUGAUCCUACUAAUGAGUAACAUUUAUUGAGAAGGCUCAACAUGAUAAAGGCUAGGUAUUUAUGCUAACACUUAACUAGUUCCACAAAGCUUUGUUGUCUAUUUGAGCUCCACAGAAUUCAAGGAUCAAAGAAGACUAGCAGACGGAGGACAUCCUAAUCACUGUCAGGGUGCUGCCGACAUUCAAAUACACCUCCGCCACCUGCUAGCUUACAUCAGAAGAAACUUCGUCAAAAUCCAGCUUGGGGGAGAGCACCCCCAUUUAUCCAGCUAAGUAUUCUACUCACGUUUAUACUUUACUCAAAUAAUAAAAAGAUGCAUAAUCAUAAAAAACCAAAUAAAGAUUUUGUGCUUAUAUAUAUCUUUGCUUUUCUUGCUAAAUAAAUAAAUAAAUAAAAUUUGCUAUGAACCCUCAUGAUAAGCUCUGACAUGGAAAUGAUGAAUAGUUGCUCUACCAUGACUAGUUCUCAAAAUUGAAAUCUCUCUCAAGUUUAGGCAUAACUGUUAUUAAUUAAGUUUUGCUCUAAACCUGAACUUGUGGGGAGAGUACUUGAUCUAAAGUCUAAGUCGUUAACGGAUAUGAUAUGGGAAGGUUGAGCUGUUGUUUAUCUGUUCCUAGAGAUGCUAGAAUUCUGGAGAAUUUUAUCUUUGAAAAUCUUUAAAAUGUCGCAUGAUGAGUUCCUAUAUGAUGAGAGUUUAAAUUCCUACCACAGCCAUAUAUACAUGCUUGCUAGACUUUGAGCCACACAUUUACUUUUUACUGCUUAUGAGCAUUGAGUGUGGUCAAGCUGUGUAGACCCUUACGAGCCUGUCAUGUGGUUAAAUCAAGAUUCACAUGCACAUUCACUCAUACAUGCAGCUUCUACUCAGGAAGUACCAUCCACAUAUAUCCAUUUCCAUCUCCAGAACCACCCAAAAAUAUUCUACUACUAAACUGGGAGAGAAUAGCCAAAAACAUUUCUGUUUUUCCCCUGUGAAAUAAAUGCUCAAGUUAUCUUGGUUACUACCACUUGCUACAUUAUUUCAAGAGAUGAGUGCUCUAAAAAAACAGAAAAAAAGAGAAAAAAAAAGAUACGAGGAAAUAAAAAGGGGCAAGUGCCCGGAACCUCGAAAGAAAAGAAAAAGUGAGACGAGAGGUAAAAAUGGACAAGUGUCCGACAGUAGAAUUAGGGGUACAAGAUACCCACUUGGGAGAAAAGAAAAAAAAAUAUAGAGCAUCUCAUUCUCCUCAAAAAGUUUCAAAAGAGCAAGAAAGGUAUGUACCCCCUCAAAAGAGCAAAAGUAGAAUUAGACUUUCACCAUUACUUUCACCAUUAUCACCAUUCAUUCGCCACACAUGCACAUCUUGAUUUGACUUAUUGACUUGUUCUUCUGGAUCUAUGGUUUGACUAUGCAAUAAAUGUCUUGUAAGUAUGUAUUAGUUGUCUCCCACCUAUGAGCUCCAGAUAUCAAAACCUUAUUAGUGUAGGGUGAGAGAGAAGGCAAUGUCACUAUGCCUCAUACCAAAAAUACCACAUACUUUGAGAGAAGGCAUACACCUUUACUACCUUGGUAAGGAUCCAGAAAUACCACAAAAGAGAGACUAGAGAGAGUCAUACAAGGAAUCUCUGAGUUUUAUUUGAAAAUCUGCAAAAACCCCAGAGCUAUAGCUGAUCAAGAAUAAGAGACAUGGCACUUGACUAGACUGUUCUAUCUUUUAACUACUCAAGACAGAGGUGACGGUUGCAAGCCCCAUGGUGAAGGUAAAAUGAGUAAGUUUUAAGUCUUAACAGUUUACUCUAACCGGAGAUGAGAUCUUGUUUAAACGUAUGUGUAUCUUUAAGUUAUGAAACCACUGCAGAAAACUCUUGAGUUCAUCUUUGCUCAGGGACGAGCAAAGGUUAAGCUUGGGGGAGCUUGUUGACGGUCCUUAAUGCUCACAAUUAACCAUCAAUUAAUCAUGGAAAAGGAUCCAAAUGCAACCAACACCUAGACUUAGGGUUUUAUCUAACAGAAUUCCACGAGUUUUGGUGUUUGUCUAUUUCUGCAGGGGGUUAUCAGGAAAUAUGGAGGAAAGGCCCACACGUCGGGUUUACAUAGAGAUAUUAACGUGCCGCGCAAUUUUCUAUCAUCUAGAAUACUCCAGAAGCCACGGGACCGAAGCGGAAGCCGAGAGGCCUCAGGGACAGGGCGCCCGCCCUAGUCCUGAGGGCGCCCGCCCUCAGCCAGAGUCCAAUCAGGACUCUCUUUCGGGAUAUUGCUCCACCGACCUAAAGGAUCAACAAUAACCGUUCAAUCAAUGUCGGUUUGAUCCAACGGCCCAGAUUCACUUGAAGGGACUAUAAAACCAGACCCCCUGGCCCCUGGAGAUCAUACCUCUUCUACAGAAUCAAAGCUAGGGUUUCAAUUCUUCAUCCAAGUAGAGAGGAUCCCUCUAGUUCUUCUAGUUCUAGUUCAUCUAGUUCUAGUUCUAGUUAGUUCUAGUUGUAAUCUAGAAAAUAGGGAGAGAGAAGAGGAGAGCGGAGGAGGAACCGGAUCUGUCGGAUCUUCCUCAACAUUAUACUUUUGCAGCAUCUGGUUCGUUCUUCAUCGUUCUCCAGGUUCUUCAAUUCAUAAUUCCCGAGUUCUUUAAUUACUUUUAUUUACAUUCAAGUUAUUUAUUGGAUUCCCGCUUGCAUCAAGUGCUCUAGUCUUUAUAACGCUAGAGUAGUAAUUAAUAGAUUAGACGUGGUGUUUAGUCUUGCGAUUACCUGGAAUUGCACCCAAUCCUGCGGAUUGUUGUGAUAGCCUUAGGGUAGUGACAGCCCUAACGGUCGACGUAUUCCACCACGUUCGGAUCGGUGUUUAUAGGACCGUAGUCAGACCUUCCUAGCC